UACGGAGGGUGCAAGCGUUAUCCGGAUUCACUGGGUUUAAAGGGUGCGUAGGUGGGCAGGUAAGUCAGCGGUGAAAUCUCCGAGCUUAACUCGGAAACUGCCAUUGAUACUAUCUGUCUUGAAUAUCCUGGAGGUGAGCGGAAUAUGUCAUGUAGCGGUGAAAUGCUUAGAUAUGACAUAGAACACCAAUUGCGAAGGCAGCUCACUACGGGAUUAUUGACACUGAGGCACGAAAGCGUGGGGAUCAAACAGG
rnacentral:rRNA from 1 species